GCCAUUCUCAUACGGUCUUGUUGUCCUCUCUGUUUAUGACAAUGGAUCAGUCUUUAGCCCUGAGGUGCUUGACCUGACUGAGGAUGAUCUCCUUGAGAAGUUUGCAUUGGGUGUUUCCAUGGUUACAUCCCUUUCACUGGCCAUUUCAUACCCAACUCUGGCUGCUGCACCACACAUGCUCAUCAACGCAUACAAAAACCUUCUUGCUGUUGCAGUUGCUACCGACUAUUCCUUCCCUCAGGCUGAGAAAGUUAAAGAGUAUCUUGAGGAUCCUAGUAAGUUUGCUGUUGCUGUGGCCGUGUCUGCUGCUGCUGAUUCUGGUGCUGCUCCAGCAGCUGCUGCAGCUGUGGAGGAGAAGAAGGAAGAGCCAGCGGAGGAGUCUGAUGAUGACAUGGGUUUCAGCUUGUUCGAUUAAUUUGUAUGUUAGAGAGAUGAAGUAGGACCUUUUGUGUUUUGCAUCUCUUAGACUCACAAAUUGGAGUUUUUCAUCAUGUUUUUU
rnacentral:misc_RNA from 1 species